rnacentral:rRNA from 1 species
UACGUAGGGUGCAAGCGUUGUCCGGAAUUAUUGGGCGUAAAGAGCUCGUAGGCGGUUUGUCGCGUCGGCUGUGAAAUCCCGAGGCUCAACCUCGGGCCUGCAGUCGAUACGGGCAAACUAGAGUGUGGUAGGGGAGACUGGAAUUCCUGGUGUAGCGGUGAAAUGCGCAGAUAUCAGGAGGAACACCGAUGGCGAAGGCAGGUCUCUGGGCCGAUACUGACGCUGAGGAGCGAAAGCGUGGGGGAGCGAACAGG